AGCGGUUCUGCAUGUAGCUGUAGAUCAGACACAUCAGUCCUCCGGCUCCUUCACUGAAGCCCAGCAGGUCUACGAUGUUGGGAUGUCUGAACCUGAAAGCAACACGCGUGUUCAUGUCUGAGCGGUGCGCUCCGCUUCACUCUGACGGCGGGACUCACUUCGACAGGUUCUCCACUUCGGUCUGGAAGCUUUUCCUGAGGAGAGUCCAGUCCAUCUGGCCGUCCUGCCAGCAGCAGCAGCAGCUUCAGACGUAACGUGUGCAGCAGGACGCUGGCAGCGAUAAACCGAUCAGGAUCGUUGUCAGAGUUCUGCAGCCUCGGUAAAAACCAGACAGGUUUUUCCACCACCACCGUCUCUCUUCAUCUGCGACUUCAUCCAUCUCACUGCUGCUGUGGAAGAGGAAGUGAAGCAAACUAAUGUUUGCCGUCAUUCCGGGAGGAUUAACAAAAAACUCCAACCGCUGGACAUCGGUGUAAACAGGCCGUUCAAACAGAAGCGGCGAGCGGCGAGGGAGCGAUGGACGCCAGACUGAACACACGUUUACUGAGACGCGGCGCCGGGCGAGUUACGCCGCCAGGUGUGGAUGGACUGGAUGGAUCUGCCUCACUGUCAUCAGAGCUUCGCUGAAGCCGCAUCGUAGCUGAACCUGGAAACGACUCCGACAACAAUGAGGGGGAACCGGGUAUGUUGGAUGUUCAGUUCAGACACAGAGGAGGAAGAUUUGAGGAAGAAGAAUAAAAAUAACGUGUUUUGUUACAUAGUGGAAUAAAGUUAAACUGAACUCAC